rnacentral:rRNA from 1 species
ACAAGCGGAGGAGCAUGUGGUUAAUUCGAUGAUACGCGAGGAACUUACCUGGGCUCGAACGUAAGAUGACUGUAGGUGAAAGCUUACAUCUCUUCGGAGCAUUUUACGAGGUGCUGCAUGGUUGUCGUCAGCUCGUGCCGUGACGGUGUCGGGUUAAGUCCCAUAACGAGCGCAACCCUACCUUUAGUUGCCAUCAGGUUAAGCUGGGGACUCUAAAGGAACUGCCUACGCAAGUAGUGAGGAAGGCGGGGAUGACGUCAAAUCAGCACGGCCCUUACGUCCAGGGCUACACACGCGCUACAAUGGCCGAUACAGAGGGCAGCUACCUGGUGACAGGAUGCAAAUCUCCAAAGUCGGUCUCAGUUCGGAUCGGAGUCUGCAACCCGACUCCGUGAAGUUGGAUUCGCUAGUAAUCGCGCAUCAGCCAUGGCGCGGUGAAUACGUUCCCGGGCCUU